GCCAUACCGAAGAGGGAUGUCUAGAUCCAGUACACACCCGGAAGUGGCUGAAUCAGCUCACGGCAGAUGCGAUUCAAUCUUUCCUGGAAACAUGAGUAGUUUCACUUGUCAUACGAUGAUGUGAAAGUUGAAUUUUCGUGUAUCGGAUGUUGCAGUUAUUUCAUGCUGCUAACUUCAUGCUCUCCGGUGUUUGACAGAGGCUGUCUGACCUGCUGCAGCUGAGCCUCCCUGUCUGUCUCACCAUGCCGCUGGUGGUGGACGCCGUGUGGGCGCUGUGGAGCAUUGGAGCCGGCAUCUAUGACUACUUCCACACCAGCGCCAUGGAGGAGAGGAUCCACACGCUGGAAAAUGUCCUCUCCAUCCACCAGUUUGUGAUCGCAGGCCUGUCGGCAGGCCUCAUCCUGCUCAUAACAUACAUACUAUGGAGAAAACACUAAAAAUCAACAUGGACCAUGGCCAAGAUACUCAGUGUUGUUUGUCGCAGGACAUCUCAUGCCCCAAAUGAAGUCAGGAGCACUGAUGGGCAACGAAGGACUCCACUGACAUGCAGUCUCUGAAAACACACGUGGUACCUGUCAGGUUGUGGGUGCUUGGUCUGUCUGUUUGUCUGUUUUGGUUUGAGUUACACUAAUGUAAAAUCGUAACAGCUUCUCAAGGCAACAUUGCACUUUUUUUUUGCUAAGCUUGAAGACUUGACAGUCUAGAAAAGCCCUCUGAGAUCACAUCCAUACAUGCAAACAUCACCCCAGUGUGUGUGUGAUGAGGGGGGAAGACGUUCAGUCAUCGUUUUAAUAGUUGCUGUAGAAUUUAAAAGUUUGGAUUUGUUACAGAAGUCAUGCAGAGUCAAGAUUGUGGAUGCUACAACCUGUUAUCACAAGAUCACAACGUAAUUACCUCCAGAUCAACCGUUUUCUCAUGUUUACAUAUUGAUAAUUUACUUUUUUAAAAAUCUGACAUCUGUUUGUUGUAGAGUUUAUUAAUCUUCCUGAGUAACAAUGUCAUUAUCUUGACAAUUUAUCAUCAUGAUUUAAUUAUCUCUAUCUUGAAAUGGUGGUCAUCAUGUAAUGUUGAUCUUCUGAGAUGCCUCUAUCCUCUAAUCUGAAAGGGACAGUCAUCUGGAGUUAUCUGAAGAGUUUCUAAAUAAAAUGGCAUUAUAGUGAACUCUUGAUUUGGAUAUUAGGGUUAAAAACACAAUAUGAUCAUUAAGUUGUGAUCUUGAGACAGCAGGCUUAUGAAAUUGAACAAUUUUAGAAAUACAUCCCUUUCUUUUUCUGGCAACAUCACCCACCAGUGACUGUCCAGCACUUGAAUCGUUUGCAGGUAAAUUGGAUGAAAUUUCAUCCUCUUAGAUAGGUUUUAUAGGGAAGUGGACCAGCAUAAAAACUGGUGUGUUUCACUGUUUGAAUUUUGGUGUUGGGACAUGACAGAGUUUCGGUGGGAACAGGAAACUGGGCUGAAUCCAGAACAUGAAACCUCCCUCCUCACUGCCAAUAAUUCUACCUUGCAGAGUCAGAGUUUAAUGGGUGGAAGUGAUCGUGUUGCACUGUUACAGUAAAGAUUAUAAUCAAAGCAGAGAUCUUAAUACCGUACGUUUGCCUUUGGCUGCUGUGGUCUGUAAUUAACCUGGUUUCAGGUGACAGGAAAAGCACAGAAAAGCACUGUUAAGAAGUUCAAACACUGGGAAAUGAAUUCAUCCUUUUAUGUGAUUUUUUUUUAAAUAUUCAUGUUGAGCAGAAGGGAUUAGAGAUGUAGGAUGGAGGUUAGUCAUUUUUAUUAAGUGUUGUGUGUUUUAAUGUGUCCAAGUUUAUAUUUUUAAUGACAGUUUCCGCUCUGCCAUCCAAGUUUUUCUUACUCCACCAUUUCCACUACUGUACCUGCUUACUUCCUGGGAUUCAUUCAUAGUACUGUAUGCACUACUUCAUGCUACUUAAACAAACCACCACCAUGGAUACUAUUAAAGGGAAUAUGUUUGAAUAAUAAAUCAUAAUUUAAAUCCCA